AGAGUUUGAUCAUGGCUCAGGAUAAACGCUGGCGGCGUGCCUAACACAUGCAAGUCGAACGCCCUACGCAAGUAGGGAGUGGCGGACGGGUGAGUAACACGUGGGUUAUCUGCCCUUAGGUGAGGAAUACCGGCGAGAAAUCGCCGACAAUACCGCAUACGCUCGCAAGAGCAAAGCCCGCAAGGGCGCCUGAGGAUGAG
rnacentral:rRNA from 1 species